AAAGUGUAAACAUGGCACUUCCGUUUGUUGAAAACCGUGUCAAAAUCAGAUGAAAUUUACCGUUUUACUGGAGUUUGAAAUACAGCCUAAAUAUGUGACAGUCCUAUACCAUGAAAAAUGGUUCCAUUGAAGUUCAAGAGGAUGAUGUCGCAUAUGUUGCACUCCUAGACAGAGAAGAUGGAAACUUCAUGGUAGAUAGCACAUGAGGAGGAGUCGCAUAUACAACUCAAAUAUGUUCCACUCCCACACAAUGAAGAUAGUUUCAUGGUAGAUAGAUUGCACAUUGGGAUUAGUAGCAUAUACAGCCUAAAUAUGUUACACUCCUAGACAAUGAAGAUGGUUUCAUGGUAGAUCGAUCGCAUAUGAGGAUCAGGAGCAUAUACAGCCUAAGUAUGUUACACUCCAAUACCAUGAAAGAUGCUUCCAUUGUAUAUAGCACAUUAGGAUGAGUCGCAUAUACAGCCUAACUAUGCAACACUCCUAUACCAUGAAAGAUGCUUUCAUUGAAGAUCACACAUUAGGACGAGUCACAUAUACAGCCUAAAUAUGUGACAGUCCUAUACCAUGAAAAUGGUUCCAUUGAAGUUCAAGAGGAUGAUGUUGCAUAUGUUGCACUCCUAGACAGAGAAGAUGGAAACUUCAUGGUAGAUAGCACAUGAGGAUGAGUUGCAUAUACAGCCUAAAUAUGUGACAGUCCUAUACCAUGAAAAUGGUUCCAUUGAAGUUCAAGAGGAUGAUGUUGCAUAUGUUGCACUCCUAGACAGAGAAGAUGGAAACUUCAUGGUAGAUAGCACAUGAGGAGGAGUCGCAUAUACAGCCUAAAUAUGUGACAGUCCUAUACCAUGAAAAUGGUUCCAUUGAAGUUCAAGAGGAUGAUGUUGCAUAUGUUGCACUCCUAGACAGAGAAGAUGGAAACUUCAUGGUAGAUAGCACAUGAGGAGGAGUCGCAUAUACAGCCUAAAUAUGUGACUGUCCUAUACCAUGAAAAUGGUUCCAUUGAAGUUCAAGAGGAUGAUGUUGCAUAUGUUGCACUCCUAGACAGAGAAGAUGGAAACUUCAUGGUAGAUAGCACAUGAGGAGGAGUCGCAUAUACAGCCUAAAUAUGUGACAGUCCUAUACUAUGAAAAUGGUUCCAUUGAAGUUCAAGAGGAUGAUGUUGCAUAUGUUGCACUCCUAGACAGAGAAGAUGGAAACUUCAUGGUAGAUAGCACAUGAGGAGGAGUCGCAUAUACAGCCUAAAUAUGUGACAGUCCUAUACUAUGAAAAUGGUUCCAUUGAAGUUCAAGAGGAUGAUGUUGCAUAUGUUGCACUCCUAGACAGAGAAGAUGGAAACUUCAUGGUAGAUAGCACAUGAGGAGGAGUCGCAUAUACAGCCUAAAUAUGUGACAGUCCUAUACUAUGAAAAUGGUUCCAUUGAAGUUCAAGAGGAUGAUGUUGCAUAUGUUGCACUCCUAGACAGAGAAGAUGGAAACUUCAUGGUAGAUAGCACAUGAGGAGGAGUUGCAUAUACAACUCAAAUAUGUUCCACUCCCACACAAUGAAGAUGGUUUCAUGGUAGAUAGAUAGCACAUUGGGAUUAGUAGCAUUUACAGCCUUAAUAUGUUACACUCCUAGACAAUGAAGAUGGUUUCAUGGUAGAUCGAUUGCAUAUGAGGAUCAGUAGCAUAUACAGCCUAAGUAUGUUACACUCCUUGACAAUGAAGAUGGUUUCAUGGUAUAUAGCACACGAGGAUAAAGUAGCAUAUACAGCCUAAAUAUGUUAACAAUCCUCGACAAUGACGAUGGUUUCAUUGUAGAUAGCACAUUAGGAUGUGUCGCAUAUACAGCCUAAAUAUGUAACGCUCCUAUACCAUGAAAGAUGCUUCCAUUGUAGAAGGCACAUUAGGAUGAAUCACAUAUACAGCCUACAUAUGUAACACUCCUAUACCAUGAAAGAUGCUUCUAUUGUAGAAAGCACAUUAGGAUGAAUCACAUAUACAGCCUACAUAUGUAACACUCCUAUACCAUGAAAGAUGCUUCCAUUGUAGAUAGCACAUUAGGAUGAGUUCCUGUAUAGAUUGACCGUGUUAACUCGUUUUAGUUAGUUGUUCCUUGCUGGCGGGGUCGUCUAUGAUAGAGAUUUUUCCAUGAUUUGGUAUUGCACAUAAAAUACAAUGAAAUGCUCAUCAAUUUUAAAUGUUACGAUUUUCUUUCUGUAUUAUACUAUAUAUGCUUAUCCUUGUUUGCAUGAUUAUUAUUUUGAUAAAGAUAAAAUCUGAUGUCUAGGUUAUUGGCAAUAUGAA